UACGGAGGGUGCAAGCGUUGUUCGGAUUUACUGGGCGUAAAGCGCGCGCAGGCGGACUGGUAAGUCAGAUGUGAAAUCCCGGGGCUCAACCUCGGAACUGCGUCUGAAACUGCUAGUCUAGAGUCUCAAAGGGGGUGGGAGAAUUUCACGUGUAGGGGUAAAAUCCGUAGAGAUGUGAAGGAACACCAGUGGCGAAGGCGCCCACCUGGAUGAGUACUGACGCUGAGGCGCGAAAGCGUGGGGAGCAAACAGG
rnacentral:rRNA from 1 species